AUUGAACGCUGGCGGCAGACCUAACACAUGCAAGUCGAGCGAGCGGCGGACGGGUGAGUAAUGUAUGGGGACUGCCCGAUAGAGGGGGAUAACUACUGGAAACGGUGGCUAAUACCGCAUACUAUCGGAUAACCCAUAUGGGAUUAGCUAGUAGGGGGGGUAAAGGCUCACCUAGACGACGAUCUCUAGCUGUUCUGAGAGGAUGAUCAGCCACACGGGGACGGAGACACGGUCCAGACUCAUACGGAGGCAGCAGUGGGGAAUAUUGCACAAUGGGAGAAAGCCUGAUGCAGCCAUGCCGAGUGUAUGAAGAAGGCCUUAGGGUUGUAAAGUAAUUUCAGCGGGGAGGCGUUACCCGCAGAAGAAGCACCGGCUAACUCCGUGCCAGCAGCCGCGGUAAUUC
rnacentral:rRNA from 1 species